AGCAGCCGCGGUAAUUCCAGCUCCAAUAGCGUAUAUUAAAGUUGUUGCAGUUAAAAAGCUCGUAGUUGAAUUUCGGGAUUCAUCCGUUGGUCGGGCUUCACGGUCCGUACUGGUGUGAUGGGUUCCUACCUUCUGAAUAACCGGCAUGCCAUUAAUUUGGUGCGCCGGGGAAGCAGAACUAUUACCUUGAAAAAAUUAGAGUGCUUAAAGCAGGCAAGUGCCUGAAUAGGUUAGCAUGGAGUAAUAAAAUAGGACGGCAUGGUUCUAUUUUGUUGGUUUCUAGGAUCACCGUAAUGAUUAAUAGGGAUAGUUGGGGGCAUUAGUAUCCAAUUGUCAGAGGUGAAAUUCUUGGAUUUAUUGAAGACUAACUUCUGCGAAAGCAUUUGCCAAGGAUUUGUUUCAUUAAUCAAGAACGAAAGUUAGGGGAUCGAAGGCGAUCAGAUACCGUCGUAGUCUUAACCAUAAACUAUGCCGACU
rnacentral:rRNA from 1 species